rnacentral:lncRNA from 1 species
AGCUAGCUUAAGCUUCCACUUAUAUGACAAUUGCAUCAAAUGCAAUUAUAUUGAUAACAAUGUAUGAACAAAACAAACAGGCAUGAUAGGUAAAAAUUUUAAAAUACUGGUAUCACAGUCAACAUUGUAUUAUAAUCCUUAUCACUAUAAAAAACAAACAGAUAUGUAACAAAGAAACACAAAAAUGCAUAUAUACAAAGCACAUAAGCAAAAAAUGAAAGACAAGAAUACAAAAUAUUAC